rnacentral:rRNA from 1 species
GAUGAACGCUGGCGGCGUGCCUAAUACAUGCAAGUCGAGCGCACGGACGAGAAGCUUGCUUCUCUGAUGUUAGCGGCGGACGGGUGAGUAACACGUGGAUAACCUACCUAUAAGACUGGGAUAACUUCGGGAAACCGUAGCUAAUACCGGAUAAUAUUUUGAACCGCAUGGUUCAAAAGUGAAAGACGGUCUUGCUGUCACUUAUAGAUGGAUCCGCGCUGCAUUAGCUAGUUGGUAAGGUAACGGCUUACCAAGGCAACGAUGCAUAGCCGACCUGAGAGGGUGAUCGGCCACACUGGAACUGAGACACGGUCCAGACUCCUACGGGAGGCAGCAGUAGGGAAUCUUCCGCAAUGGGCGAAAGCCUGACGGAGCAACGCCGCGUGAGUGAUGAAGGUCUUCGGAUCGUAAAACUCUGUUAUUAGGGAAGAACAUAUGUGUAAGUAACUGUGCACAUCUUGACGGUACCUAAUCAGAAAGCCACGGCUAACUACGUG